AAGACUCUGAUGCUGGGAGGGAUUGGGGGCAGGAGGAGAAGGGGACAACAGAGGAUGAGAUGGCUGGAUGGCAUCACCAACUUAAUGGACACCACUUAGUCCAUCUGUGAGUUUUUUUAAAUUUUGUCAUAAAUCUCCAAAAGAUUUUCCAACAUAUUUAUUGAAAAAAAUCCAUGCAUAAGUGGACUCUCACAGUUUGAACCCAUGUUGUUCAAGGGUGACCCAUUGUUCCUUUUGGAAAGCCCUACAGGACAACCUUCAGCCAACCAAGAGAGGAUGGAGAAUUUGGAGCGGUACAUUCAUUAGAUCAGAGCAUAACGCAAAAGACGACAAAGAAGACUCUUGUCCAGAAACUUACUGAAGACAACUGACAAAAGUUGAAAGUGAAGCUUGUCAGAGGGGACAGCCAAAAUGAGAAAGCGAUGGCUCUGCAUUAAGAGAAUACAGAGAAAACUGCCUGGACUGGGCUAAUCUGGAGAAGCAGCCAGACCUCAGAGAAACUAAAACAGCAAUGGAGGCAGAGAGAGGUUAAGUAGCAUGCCUUGGCCUACACAGCAAGCGGUUGUGCUGAGACAUGCAUGCUGACAGCCUGGUUCCAGCGCCCAUGCGCAAACCCUUAUGUAAACAGGUGAUUUAAAUCAGUCAACAGAUAAGCCUGAAUCUUUAUAUAAAUGGAACUGAUAUGCAGGAAGCACCUGAAGAUGACUUUAUAUCUUGCCAUGUGCUUGAAACAAACUGAUGGAUAUUCUCAUGUAUUAAUGAGAAAGACCCAGAUUGAUAAAGACCAAAAAGUUUGAUGGUAUCUGAACUGAUAAGACGCUUACUCCUUGGAAGGAAAGUUAUGACCAACCUAGAUAGCAUAUUCAAAAGCAGAG
ensembl:lncRNA